UGUUUAAAACAGUUAUGGUUACAAAACUUGGGAACGUGUGGAAGUGACUCCUUUGUUUUCCCCACAGUGAACAGCAGUAGUGUGAUGCAGCGACUGCAAGGGAGGACUGUGAGCACAGCGACACGUGACGUUUUGAUAUCAGAAGCAUCUAAAAUUGACAAAGCUUUGGUAACAGAAAAGUUGCAAGCAUAAUUCCUCAUUAAUAACUCCAUUUGUGUUAUUGUUCUGCCUAAAACUUGUUCCUGCUUUCCAAAGAAGGCAAAACAGGAAAAAUAUUAAAUUGAUGUGAAAAAUUUAAGUCUAAUACGUAUUUCAAACUGUCUGAUCUGUGCAUGGGAGGAAGAAAAGAUUAAAGCUGCAAUACAACAGCCUGCCUUUAGAAAGUGAGCUGGGAGGAGGAAGUCAGUACCAAGGAAUGUUCUCACCAAAGUGCCCUUCCCUGGCUCAGCGCCCGGUGCCAACAGAACACCUUGCAGGAUCCUCAGCAGCGCAGACAACACAACCUGGAUGCUCAAGAGCAGAGGAUCUAUCAACUGCAGACCAAGCAGAGGCAGAGGCAGGCAGAACCGGAGCAGUAAUGCAGCCAGAUCCAGCAGCUCAGCCAGGAGCUGGAGGCCACCACCAGCUACAGGAGGAAGCUUGGAUGCAGGUAGGAGAAGAUGCCAGCAUGGUCUGGCUCGGCAGGCCAGUAUUGGAACUUUAUUUAAUGCCUUCACAGCAGUGGUAAUAAUCUGCUGCUCCUGUCUAAAUGACAGCAUAACAAAAGGCUAAAAAUGCAAAAGUGGAGUCUGUCAACUCACAGCGAGGAGGGAAAGUCCCGGGAACUGGGGAGAUGGCUGCAGCUCUGCUGUCUGUGGAUAGGUGCUUGGGCUGCAUUUGACCAAAGAUGUGACUGCUGUAAUGCACGGAUGUCCUGCAUGCUAAUCCUGCUGCUCACCUCCUGAGAGAGAAGGGGAGAGGGCAGCUGGUAGAGAACAUGAGGAAGACCACAACUCGCAGGACAUGCUCUCCCAGCUAUGUAACAUUGAUGUGUGUGAGCCAGGACAGAGGCUUGUGUAGCUGAAAUCCUGAGUUUGCUCCAGGACGAGCAGACAUUUGCAAUGGGAGUUGCUCUGCAGACCUGACAGAAGGCCUGCAGGGCAGUGUUUGUGCCUGUCAUCUCUGUGCCAUUGUCUGCUUGGUCCCCUGCCCUCAUACAGCUCCUCUCCUCCAACCCCUGUAUUUCAGAGCUGCCAGGAGUCACACUGCUCAGACUGCACAUUCCUUCUGCAUGCAGAUCUGGCUUGGGAGAGCACGCUACUCACAUGUCGGCUCAGCCGCGUGUUUGUCUGCCUGAUGUCCAUUCAGGCACCUUUAGUCGUUAAUGGAUUUUGACUGCAGGCUGUGAUCAGAUCCAGAUGGCAAACAGAUUCUGGGACGUGGAGAGAGUGGAUCCUGAAAAUCUGUGCAGGAUUACUUGCUUAAUCUGCAUCGUUCCUCCACAACACCUGCUUCUAAUCUCUUUCAGCACUCCUUAAACCAGAAGAAUUAUGUCUAUUUUAAAAACUUGAUAGUGCAGCAUUCUCAGUGUACUGGAAGACUAAAUCAGCCACGUGCUACUGGUGCUGGAGUAUCAGGUCUCACCGUGCUGGACAGCAGAAUGAGCUCCGCACAGCUGGCUUGUCCAGAAGGAGAGCAGCAUUUUAGAAUCUGAGCGGUAUUUUUCUCCUUAUUACUCAAAGUAGAAA
ensembl:lncRNA